CCAGACUCCUACGGGAGGCAGCAGUGAGGAAUAUUGGUCAAUGGGCUUACGCCUGAACCAGCCAAGUCGCGUGAGGGAAGACGGUCCUAUGGAUUGUAAACCUCUUUUGUCGGGGAGCAAAAGACGCCACGCGUGGCGUUCCGAGAGUACCCGAAGAAAAAGCAUCGGCUAACUCCGUGCCAGCAGCCGCGGUAAUACGGAGGAUGCGAGCGUUAUCCGGAUUUAUUGGGUUUAAAGGGUGCGUAGGCGGAAUAUCAAGUCAGCGGUAAAAAUUCGGGGCUCAACCCCGUCGUGCCGUUGAAACUGGCAGUCUCGAGUUGGAGAGAAGUAUGCGGAAUGCGCGGUGUAGCGGUGAAAUGCAUAGAUAUCGCGCAGAACUCCGAUUGCGAAGGCAGCAUACCGGCGCGCAACUGACGCUCAUGCACGAAAGCGUGGGUAUCGAACAGGAUUAGAUACCCGAGUA
rnacentral:rRNA from 1 species